CAGGAGCUGGGGCUGAGGUGAGUGGGGCCCCUUCUGGGCUGGGUGGUGGGACAAGCGGAGGUCCCAGGGGCAUGUGCCCCCCUGUGGCAGGACACUGUUUGUGCCUGCCAUGUUAAGACCUAAGCCAAGCAACCAGCAGGUGCCUGAUUGUGGCAGCCAUUUUAGAUUCAGGGCUGCCUAUAUAAGCAGAGCAUUUUGCUGCUGGCAGGCCAGGCAGCAACAUCACUUGGUUGCAAGGCUUCAUGGAACACCCUGGAGACUACAGAGCUGAACCUGAAAGUUGCAACAUGAUCAUUUCUACUUCAACAAGUAUUAAGGACUUGCCUUCUUUUAAGAAGCAGAAAUACAUGUGAUAUAAGGAGCAUAUUCCAGUUGGAUUGGGACAGAGAAGAGAAGGCUUUCCAGUUGAAGACAGCCAGCCAGAGGGACUGCAGAUGAUUUCAUGGUAUUUAAUGCCAGAAGAGAUGAUUCUAAUCAACUUGUUUGACCUGUUGCAGAACAUGCAUUUAGACUAUUACCCAGUAAAUCGUAGAUACCAUUUUUAAAAAGUAUAUUUUGGAUUCAGAGACUUCAAUGCAUUUCAUAGACUUGCUGAAAAUAACCACAGGAAUAUAGGAAGAAUAUGGUAAGGUAGAACUGAGAGUGAAACCCCUGGGUUAUUAAGUCCAGACUCCUUGGAUUGUAGACAGCACAUCACAUAGCCCUUUCUGGGCACAUCUACAUUGAACACGUUAAUGCACAUUAACCUUGUGUCUUCAUAAGCCCGCCUUGAAUCCACAUUAAAAAUGGUGAAAUUA